GUCUCCUUCUCGAGGUCUGUCCUUGAGGACCGAGAGAGAAUUCAUUUUCACAUAUGUGAGCGCAAGGAGGACCCUCUUCGGAGUUUUCUCCUUUUCUUCUAUUGAUUUUGCUAGAAAACAGACGUCCCUGUAUAGAAGCCGAUCGCCCUAGAGUCAUCACCCUGCCUGCUGGCUGGCCAGGGUAACUCCUCAGGUUACCACCCUCUCCAGCCUGCCUUGGGCUUGGAAAGUGAGGAGGAGGGCAAGGGACAUCUGUUGACCCUGAACAUCCGCCAUCCAUCAUCAUACCAUCACCUAGAGCAAGAUGGCCAGGCUCCUGAGGAUGUUCAGGAAGAAGGCUCUGCAGGUGGCCCCAGAGCCUGAGGGAAGCAGCUGCCAUCUUCCCAAGGGGCAGAGCAACCUCUCCGUCCCCGCUGGCGGGGAAGCAGCUCCCACCCAGGCCAGAAGGCGGAAAUGCCCAGCCUUCUGGUG